GUUUGAUUAGCUUGUUGGUGGGGUAAUGGCCUACCAAGGCGAUGAUCAAUAGCUGGUCUGAGAGGAUGAUCAGCCACACUGGGACUGAGACACGGCCCAGACUCCUACGGGAGGCAGCAGUGGGGAAUAUUGGACAAUGGGGGCAACCCUGAUCCAGCAAUGCCGCGUGUGUGAAGAAGGUUUUCGGAUUGUAAAGCACUUUCGGCGGGGACGAUGAUGACGGUACCCGCAGAAGAAGCCCCGGCUAACUUCGUGCCAGCAGCCGCGGUAAUACGAAGGGGGCUAGCGUUGCUCGGAAUGACUGGGCGUAAAGGGCGUGUAGGCGGUUUGUACAGUUAGAUGUGAAAUCCCCGGGCUUAACCUGGGAGCUGCAUUUAAUACGUGCAGACUAGAGUGUGAGAGAGGGUUGUGGAAUUCCCAGUGUAGAGGUGAAAUUCGUAGAUAUUGGGAAGAACACCGGUGGCGAAGGCGGCAACCUGG
rnacentral:rRNA from 1 species